rnacentral:rRNA from 1 species
CCGUAGCGAACAGCUCAGUAACACGUGGCCAAGCUACCCUAUGGACGUGGACACCCUCGGGAAACUGAGGCUAAUCCGCGAUACGGCUCCCACGCUUGAAUGCGGGGAGCCGGAAACGCUCCGGCGCCAUAGGAUGCGGCUGCGGCCGAUUAGGUAGACGGUGGGGUAACGGCCCACCGUGCCGAUAAUCGGUACGGGAUGUGAGAGCAAAUAGCCCGGAGAUGGAAUCUGAGACAAGAUUCCAGGCCCUACGGGGCGCAGCAGGCGCGAAACCUUUACACUGCACGCCAGUGCGAUAAGGGGACCCCGAGUGCGAGGGCAUACAGUCCUCGCUUUUGUACACCGUAAGGAGGUGUACGAAUAAGGGCUGGGCAAGACCGGUGCCAGCCGCCGCGGUAAUACCGGCAGCCCGAGUGAUGGCCGCUGUUAUUGGGCCUAAAGCGUCCGUAGCCGGCCGAACAAGUCUGUCGGGAAAUCCAUCCGCCUAACGGAUGGGCGUCCGGCAGAAACUGUUCGGCUUGGGGCCGGAAGAUCCGAGGGGUACGUCCGGGGUAGGAGUGAAAUCCUGUAAUCCUGGACGGACCGCCGGUGGCGAAAGCGCCUCGGAAGGACGGACCCGACGGUGAGGGACGAAAGCUGGGGUCUCGAA